rnacentral:sRNA from 1 species
UACCCAUAUACGUACACAUUCCUCGUGUUAGAGACCAUAUCUUGCCCCAUCACCACCCGAGCCAAUCAUCCCUUCUAGAGAUUAUCGAUCUUAAAACGCAGAUGGUAAACUGCCUCUAAAUAUUGGGGAAGCGUAGAGACGAAUGAAUUUUAAACCUCAUACUUUUUUGUCUUCAUUCUCGAACGAAAUAACAUUAGAUCCCUAAUAGUGCUUGAGAUGGUGUUAGGGAUUAUUCGGAUGAAGAUUAGGAGAGAA